rnacentral:rRNA from 1 species
UAAACGACUCUCGGCAACGGAUAUCUCGGCUCACGCAUCGAUGAAGAACGUAGCAAAAUGCGAUACUUGGUGUGAAUUGCAGAAUCCCGUGAACCAUCGAGUUUUUGAACGCAAGUUGCGCCCCGAAGCCAUUCGGCCGAGGGCACGUCUGCCUGGGCGUCACGC